ACUCAAAGGAAUAGACGGGGGCCCGCACAAGCGGUGGAGCAUGUGGUUCAAUUCGACGCAACGCGAAGAACCUUACCUGGGCUCGAACGGCUUAAGAACAAUCGUAGAAAUAUGGUCUUCCCGCAAGGGACUUGAGUCGAGGUGCUGCAUGGCUGUCGUCAGCUCGUGUCGUGAGAUGUUGGGUUAAGUCCCGCAACGAGCGCAACCCUUGUCCUGUGUUGCCACCCCGUAAGGGAGCACUCUCAGGAGACCGCCAGCGAUAAGUUGGAGGAAGGUGGGGAUGAUGUCAAGUCAUCAUGGCCUUUAUGUCCAGGGCUACACACGUGCUACAAUGGACGGUACAAAGCGCUGCAAACCCGCGAGGGGGAGCCAAUCGCAAAAAACCGUUCUCAGUUCGGAUCGCAGGCUGCAACUCGCCUGCGUGAAGCUGGAAUCGCUAGUAAUGCCGUAUCAGAACGAUGGCGUGAAUACGUUCCCGGGCCUUGCACACACCGCCCGU
rnacentral:rRNA from 1 species